AUACUUUCGUUUGUCUUUUCGUCGAUCCUCGAGUCCUCUCUCAUUGUGCUUAUUCAAAUGUGGAUUGGGAUGGAUGUCCUGACACUCGAUGUUCCACCAUAGGUAUAUGCGUGUUUUUGGGACCUAAUCUUAUAUCUUGGUGUGCUAAGAAGCAACAGGCUGUUUAUCGCUCCUCUGCUGAAGCCGAGUAUCAUUCUCUUGCUCAUGCUUGUGCUAACAUUAUCUGGAUUUCAUAUCUAGAAAAUACAUUGAAUAUGGCUAGGAUUUGUCCAUAUUCAAUGUAUUUUCUAAUUGUUUGAUCUUAGCUUCCUCUUCGAUCAUUAUGUAAUUGCCUAGACUAAGGAUCUAAAUAGCUUAGACUAAGGAUCUAGAUAGCUGUAAUUUAGUAAUCCUUUGUGUAUAUAAUGCUUAUCACUCAAUGAGAAGAAUACACAACAAAUUCUAUAAACCUUUUAGCUAUGAAUUGCUACCUUCUAUCAAGGGUCCAUGUGACGACAUUCAUCAACUAUGUGUCUCUUCCUUCUGGGGAGAUACAGAUGCAAAGAAAAAAAAUUCAUUGGUGCAGUUAGGAAAGGUUGUGUCUCACUAAGAGUGAAGGAGGUAUGGGAUUCAAAAAUAUUUAUGCUUAUAAUUUGGCAGUAUUAGCUAAGCCAGGAUGGAGAAUUAUUUCCAAUCCUCACUCAUUAAUUGCUAGAUUGUAUAAAGAAAAAUAUUUUCCCACUUGUUCGUUUUGGGAAGCAGAAUUGGAAGACUCACCAUCCUUUUCAUGGAGAAGCAUCAUUGGAGGCAAACAUGUAUUAUAAGCAGGAGUAAAAUGGAGAAUAGGUGAUGGAUCUCGGUCAAGUGAUCAUAUGGAACAAUAUAUAACAGGUUUCCAAACUGUCCUCAGUACAUGAUUCAAAAAACAUGUCGCACUUUUUAACAAAGUGGCAGAUAUCAUCAAUGCUCAAGAUAGGGGUUGGAUUCCCUAUAUUGUUUACACAUUAUUUCCUCCUAGUGUAAUAGCAUAGAUCCUAGCCAUUCCAUUAAGCAGGACCCUUACUUAAUGGAAUAGCUAGGAUCUGUGCAGCGUUACUCAUGAUAAGCUUUUUUGGAGCCCAGAAAAAAGAGGCCAUUCACGGUAAAAUCUGCAUAUUAGAUAGCUAGAGAGCAAGUUCUCAGUAAUGUUCUAACUACUACCUCAAAUGGAGAUCCUUUCAAGUUUGGAACUCCAACGUACCAGGAAAGGUUCAAAUCUAUGUCUGGAGGGUCUGUAAUAACCUUCAUCCUACAAGGGACCGAUUAUUGACUAAGGGCUAUAUGAAAGACACCAAUUGCUUGCUGUGGCACACAUAGAAUCGAAGACACUACACAUCUUUUCUCUCUAUGGCAUGGCUUGGUGAGUUCUAGAAGGCUAGGGAAUCUACUGUGGUAACGGUGCAGCACAUAAAAAAAAAAGCAUGGCAGCCGGAUAGUAGUAGUCGAGUGAAACUCAAUGUCAAUAGGGCAGUUCUGCCAUAGUUAACACAGGGGGUGUUGGAGGUGGUAUAUGUGACUCUCAAGGGCAGUUUCUAACUGCAUUUGCUCAAUCUAUUCAACUUGUCAGUUCUGCUAAGCAUGUGGAGUUAUUAGCCAUAAGGGAGGGGCUUGAUUUUUCUCAACAGAUGCAAUUAACACAUGUUACCAACUUACCAUUGAAGCUGAUUGUCUUCAAGAUGUUCAAGCUAUUUCAAGCAGAGACUAUGAGCUUUCAGAGUUAGGCAAUGUGAUUGACAAGCAGAGACUAUGUUCAAGCUAUUUCAAACAUAGGUUUGCUAGCAUCGCCUUUGACUCUGGCAAAAGAGAAUCUUGGCUCAAUAGAGCUCCUAGCUGCAUUCUUGAUGAUGUUUUGCAGCAUGAUUAUAAUCUCUUAAUCUGAUUCCUUGAAAUAAAGUUCGUCUUUCUUCUUCUUCUUCUUCUAAAAAAAAAACUUGGUUUGUUUUGAAUACCAGCUCUUGUGAUGAUGAAGAUAUCUCUACACCAUGUACAUUUAUGAUUUGUUUAAGAGAAGGAAAACUUGAAACCCACCGCUAAAGAGGCAAGCAGAGCUAGGAGGAGGACGAAUGGAGCCGUUAGAUUGUCGGACGGAGGCCGGCAGCUCGACAGACGGAGCAUGAGGGAUUGAGAGGUGCCACGUACCGACUCUCCAUGGUGGCUCACAGAGAGAGAGAGAUAGAAAAAUUUCUAGAGAGAAGGAGGAGCCUCUCUAGAAUUUCUCUAGUGUACCUUGCUUUUAUGUCUUAGUGUUGAUCGAUUUUCUUGUAAUCAAAUUGAGGACACUGUUAGCGUAAGUCAUGGCAUAA